rnacentral:lncRNA from 10 species
UAGGCUCUCCUGCAGGGGUGGCUGGCCCAAAGCAGAGCUGCCUUUUGGAUCCAUGACUUGUAACCUGCCAGACAAGAAAAUUGGCCUGAGUAAUCAUGUAACUCUAUGAGCCAUAUUUUGAACCUGUCAUCUAUCAACCAGAAAAACCAGGAAGAAAUUUAAUCCCUGAACAGACAAACAAUGAGCUCUGAAAUUGAAUCAGUAAUAAACAAUCUACUAACCAAAAAUACUCCAGGACAAGAUAGAUUCACAGUCGAAUACUACCAGAUUUGCAAAGAAGAGCUGAUACCAUUUUUACUGAUACUAUUCCAAAAAAUUGAGGAGGAGGGACUCCUUCCCCACUCAUUCUAUGAAGCCAGCAUCAUAAUGAUACCAAAACCUGGCAGAGACACAACAAAGAAAUAAAACUUCAGGCCAAUGUUGUUGAUGACCACUGAUGCAAAAAUACUGAACAAAAUACUAGCAAACCAGAUCUAGCAGCACAAAAGUUUAUCUACCAUGAUCAAGUAGGCUUUAUUCCUGGGAUGCAAGGUUGGUUUGAUAUACACAAAUCAAUAAAUGUGACUCAUCACAGAAACAAAACUGAAGACAAAAAAGCACGUGAUUAUUUCAAUAUAUACAUAAAAAGGUUUUGAUAAAAUUCAACAUCCUUUCAUGUUAAAAAACCUUCAAUAAACCAGGUAGUGAAUGAAGAUAUUUUGAAACAAUAAGAGCCAUCUAUGACAAAGCUACAACCAACAGCAUACUGAAUGGGCAAAAGCUGGAAUCAUUCCCCUUGAAAACUGGCACAAGACAAGUAUGUCGUCUCUCACCACUUCUAUUCAACAUAGUAUUGGAAGUCCUAGUCAGAGCAAUCAGGCAAGAGAAAGAAAUAAAAGGCAUUCAAAUAGGAUGAGAGAAAGUCAAACUAUCUCUGUUUGCAGAUGACAUGCUUCUAUAUCUAGAAAACCCCAAAGUCUCUGCUUAAUAGCUCCUUCAGCUGACAAACAACUUCAACAAAGUUUCAGGAUACAAAAUCAACAUACAGAAAUUAGUAGCAUUUCUAUACAUCAGCAACAUCAAAACCAAGAGCCAAAUCAAGAACACAAUCCCAGUGACAAUUGUCAUAAAAAGAGUAAAAUACCUAGGAAUACAGUUAACCAGGGAAGUGAAAGAUCCCUACAAGAAAAAUUACAAAACACUGUUCAAAGAAAUCAGAGAUGACACAAAAAGCAGACAAACAUUUCAUGCUCAUGAAUAGGAAGACUCAAUAUUGUUACAAUGGCUAUACUGCCCAAAGCAACUUACAGAUUCAGUGCUAUUCCUAUCAAACUACCAAUGACAUUUUCUUCACAGAAUUAGAAAAAAUUAUUUUAAAAUACAAAUGGAACCAAAAAAGAGCCCAAAUAGCCUAGGUAAUCAAAAGAACAAAGCUGGAGGCAUUAUGUUACCCAACUUCAAACUGUACUACAGGGCUACAGUAACCCAAACAGCAAGGUACUGGUAUAAAAAUAGACACAUAGACUAACAAAACAGAAUAGAGAACCCAGAAAUAAUGCCAUACACCUACAACCAUCUGAUCUUUGACAAAGCUUACAAAAACAAGCAGUGGGGAAAAGGCCCCAUAUGCAAAAAAUAGCACUGGGAUAACUGGGUAACUAUAUGCAGAAGAUUGAAACUGGACCCCUUCUUACACCAUCUAUGAAAAUCAACUCAAGAUGGAUUAAAGAUUAAAUGUAAAACCCAUCACUAUACAAACCCUGGAAGAUAACCUAGGCAAUACCAUUUAUGGCAUAGGAACUGGCAAAGAUUUCAUGAUCAAUGCACCAAAAGUAACUGCAACAAAAGCAAAAAUUGACAAAUUGGAUCUAAUUAAACUAAAGAGCUUCUGCACAGCAAAGAAACUACCAAGAGAGUAAACAGUCUACAGAAGGGAAAAAUAUAGUUGCAAACUAUGUAUCUGACAAAGAUCUAAUAUCCAGCAUUUACAAAGAACUUAAAUUUACAAACAGCAAUGAAAAUCCCAUUAAAAAGUGGGCAAAGGACAAGAACAGACACUUUUUAAAAUAAGGCCUACAUGCGGCCAACAAGUAUAUAAAAAUGCUUAAUAUCACUGAUAAUUAGAGAAAUGGAAUCAAAACCACAAUGAGAUACCAUCUCAACCUGUCAGAAUGGCUAUUACUAAAGUAAAAAAAUAACAGAUGCUGAUGAGGUUGUGGAGAAAAAGGAACACUUAUACACUGCUGGUGGAAGUGUAAAUUAGUUCAACUAUUGUGGAAAGCAGUGUGGUGAUUCCUUUUAAGAACUGAAAACAGAACUACCAUUCAAUCUAGCAAUCUAAUUACUGGGUAUAUACCCAAAGGAAUAUAAAUUGUCCUACCAUAAAGACACCUACAUGUGUAUGUUUACUGCAGCACUAUUCACAAUAGCAAAAACAUAGAAUCAACCUGAAUGUCCAUCAAUGGCAAACUGGAUAAAGAAAAUAUGGUACAUAUGUAAGAUGGAAUAUUGUGCAGCCAUAAAAAAAGAACAAGAUCAUGUUCUUUGCAGGAACAUGUUUGGAGCUGGAGGCCAUUAUCCUUAGCAAGCAACCACAGGAACAGAAUACCAAAUAUAACAUGUUCUCACUUAUAAGUGGGAGCUAGACAUAGAGUACCUAUGGACACAAAGAAGGGAAUAACAGAUACCAGGGCAUAGCUGAGAGUCAAGGGUAGGAGGAGGAAUAGGAUCAGAAAAAAUCACUGUUGGGUACUAGGCUUAGUACCUGGGUGAUGCAAUAAUCUGUACACCAAACUCCCAUGACACAAGUUUACCUAUAUGACAAACGAUACAUGAACCCCUGAACCUAAAACAAAAUUUUAAAAAAGAAGCAACACUCUCAAAUAUUUAUAGCACAUGUGAUUAGAUGGAGAUGCCAUGAGUUUUAUUUUUCAUAUAUUCUAAUUUUUUAUAAUUAUUAUUUAUCACUUGUCAGAAAAAUGAAGUAAAAAGGAGGGAAAAGAGAAAAUAAAUACACUAGAAAUCAAGUAUUAUAGACAGGUAUUUCUUGAUGUUUUCUGAGUAUUCACUAUGUGUGGGUGUUGUUUGAAGUGCGUUAGUCAAAUGAAAUUGCCUAAUUCUCAUAAUUAGCCAAUGAAAUCAUUAUUAUUAUCUUCCAAGGUUACACCGCAAAUAAAUGGCAUAUCUGGAAUUUGAAGCUUGGUCUAACUCAGAAUCUGUAGUCUUAACUUCCAGUUAAGGAUAAGGAAGGGAGUAACAGCUUCUGAAAUUAAAAAAAAAUUCAUUCAUAAAUUCAAACAGUAUUUAAUUAAUUUAAAAAGUGUAAUAUUUGUUAGCUAUUUGAAAUGGCUCAUUUUGGGUUUAGUCAAACAUAUAGAGAAAAAUGAAUAUUUGUAUAAAAAUUAGCAAGUUACUAAUGGAAUGUAAAUUGGUGAGCUACAGGAUAUAUAUUAUGCUAGAGAUGAUUAUUGUGUCCUGGUGACAUGUCAAGCCACUCCAGACAAAAAGUGGCCUUAAUAAAUCAGAAUUUCAUACACAUGGAAUCCUUCUGAGUUUUACUUCAUUUGUUUAAACCUACAGAUAUAAAAUGUUACCAGGGCUUUGUGUCUAGAUGCCAUUUUGAUGUGGUCUAAAAUGCUUUUCUCUCUGUUUAAUUUAAUGAUAUACACACAUUCCAUAAAAAUUAAUAAAAUACCUGCAACUCUAAUAUUAUGUGGUGGGAAGAACAUGGGCUUUGGAAUCCUUGGAAUUAAAUUUGUUUGGGUUUGAAUUUCAAAUUAAAAUUUUACUCUAAGUUUGUAUUCAUAAAGCAUAUCAUUUGGAUAUAUGAUGUUUUAAUGAAAGUCCAAGUG